rnacentral:rRNA from 1 species
UACAGAGGUCUCAAGCGUUGUUCGGAUUCAUUGGGCGUAAAGGGUGCGUAGGCGGCGCGGUAAGUCGGGUGUGAAAUCUCGGGGCUUAACUCCGAAACUGCAUUCGAUACUGCCGUGCUUGAGGACUGGAGAGGAGACUGGAAUUUACGGUGUAGCGGUGAAAUGCGUAGAUAUCGAGAGGAACACCUGCGGCGAAGGCGGGUUGCUGGGCUGACACUGACGCUGAUGCGCGAAGGCCAGGGGAGCGAACGGG